rnacentral:rRNA from 1 species
CAGGGAAUUUUGCGCAAUGGGCGCAAGCCUGACGACGCAACGCCGCGUGAGUGAAGAAGGCCUUCGGGUUGUAAAGCUCUUUUGUCAGGGAAGAAACGGUAGUAGCGAAUAACUAUUACUAAUGACGGUACCUGGAGAAUAAGCCCCGGCAAACUUCGUGCCAGCAGCCGCGGUAAUACGAAGGGGGCUAGCGUUGUUCGGAAUUACUGGGCGUAAAGCGCACGUAGGCGGAUUGUUAAGUCAGAGGUGAAAUCCCGGAGCUCAACUUCGGAACUGCCUUUGAUACUGGCAAUCUAGAGUCCGGAAGAGGUUAGUGGAAUUCCCAGUGUAGAGGUGAAAUUCGUAGAUAUUGGGAAGAACACCAGUGGCGAAGGCGGCUAACUGGUCCGGUACUGACGCUGAGGUGCGAAAGCGUGGGGAGCAAACAGGAUUAGAUACCCGGGUAGUCCCUGAGCGGGCUGGCAAGGCGCAU